UAGGGUAGAGAGGACCAAGAAUUUUGAGUAGAACAGAAAGAAGCUACAAUUUUCGCUCGUAAUCUGACACACAUGUCAGCGCCUAGAGGCUAUUAAUUUUCAAAGGCCUAUAAUAGUAAGAAUAAAGAGAAACUUUCUGUCUAUAUGUACAAUCGAAAGUUGCUUCUGAUAAAUAGGAGGAGGAACUUAGAAAUUCCAACUUGAUCAUCAAGAUAAGUACCCCGUUUGCUACCAAGUAGUACAAUAAUUAUAAUGGGAGAGAGUCAGCUCUCUCUCUUUCUUUCUCGGGUUACGGUGACUUUAGAGGAGGGAUGAGUAGAAUAAGUGUGGCUGGUGGCCAAACCCUUGAGGCCGUCGAUAGAAAGUUUUGACAAAAUUUCGGUAAGUUCCGCCACUGUCCGGCUGCCACUGUUGGAAAAAAAUAGCACUUGGGUUAGGGAAGGAAAACAGUAAACAAUGUCGGGAGAAAUGUUACUUCCAUCCAUUUUUAGUGGGUGGUUUGUCGUCUGACUCUAGUUGUGCGUGUCUCCCCUUCCUCUUUCUCCUUCUCCUUCAUUAUAUAUACUUAUAUGUGUGUGGGUUUGGGUGCUGUCUCUGGAUGCGUUGUAGUUAUCACACGCCUCCGCCACAGACUACUAUUUAACAAAAACUGACAGACACUACAUUUGGUUGCUCUCUGCUACAUUGGACACGUCCUAUUUUAUCUAACAAGAAAGUGUAAAAACCCAAAUAUCUGACCCGAUAGAGUGUGAUUUAUCUAAUUCGCUUAUAAAAAUAUUUCUUAGAAGUCACCCAUUAUUGACAUUUGAAAUGGAUGACUGAAAAUUUCAUAUUCGCCUUGUAAUGCUUUCCUUUUCCUAAAAAAAAGGAGAAAAUGCUGCAAAGACUUGCAAAAACAUUUUAUGUUGAAAUUUAUGGUGAUGAUGCUGUAGGUGAAUCAACUGGUCGAAAAUGGUUUGCAAAAUUUAAAGCUGGAGAGUUUAGCUUGGAAGAUGACAGUCACUGUGGAGGACCUUCAAAAUUGGAUGAAGAUGUUUUGAAGGCAAAAAUCGAAGAAAACUCAAGUAUCACGACUAGAGAACUUGCAGAGGAGUUGGAAGUUUCUAAAAGUAUGGCUCAUGAACACCUAGUGAAGCUAGGAUACUUUUCUCACUAUAAUGUAAGGGACCUUCACAAACUCUCAGAAAAGAAUUGCUUGGACUGGUAUUCUGUUUGUGAUAUGCUUUUGAAAUGGAAUCAAAAAAUGGCUGGAGAUGAAAACUAGAUUGUGAACGAAAACAUAGUAUGAAGAAGAUCCUUGAGUUUGUGUAAGAAUCCCCCAAAACAGCAACCAAAGAUGAAUAUCCAUGCCAAAAAAUCUAUGCUUUGUGUUUGGGAUCAUAAAGGCAUUAUUUAUUAUGAGCUUCUCCCACAAAACCAGACCAUUAAUUCUGAUGUGUACUGAUGUCAACUGGCUAAUUUGAACCAACAAAUCAAAGAAUUAAGGCUGGAGAUGAUUGCCAACAAGAAAGGGGUAGUGUUCUAAUAAGACAACGCCCGUCUACAUGAACUUGGCUGGGAUCUCUUACUCCAUUCACCAUAUUCUCCUGAUACUGUGCCAUCUGACUACCACUUGUUUUUUCUCUACAGAACUUAUUGCAAGGAAAAACAUUUAAUGAUUUAGAUGGAGUUAAAAUGCAUCUAGAUAACUUUUUGUCUUAAAGACCAGUCAAAUUUCAUGCUAAUGGAAUAUUUAAGUUACCUAAUAGAUUGGCAAGGGUCAUUAAUAAUAAUGGAAAUUAUUUCAUUGAGUAAAAUUUAUUGAAAGGUCA